UUUCAGUACUUGUUCAUUAAGGUGUAGCGAGUCUUCGUUGGUGUCGUUUAAUAUAGCUCACGUACUGAGUUGUUCCGGAGUGACAGUUGAGAAGACGAUGUCGCCAUAUAGUUGUUAAACGGGAUCAGAAUUAAAAGGAAAAUAAUGUGAAGGUGAUGUUACAGCUGUUCCAUUUUUCCUGUCUCCAGCAUCAAGGAGCCAUUUUGCGAAAUGUUGUUCGUGAGGAAGAGCUUUCAUAUUUGUCGUCAUUGUAAGUAUGUGCAUGUGACGCCACAAAGGUUGCUUGUUAAUGCAACUGGCGACAGUAAGUGCUUGGGAGCCAUUAAUAAUGACGGAGUAUUUGUAGGAAAUCUCCACCCAAUAGUAUUGUUUUUCCCUCCAAAUGGCUGCGUGUCACCCGUGAGGUCACGUAAUAACCUGUCAACUGCCUGGAAUGCGUAUGCAUGUGUCAUUGGCGGCUCGUCCCAUGUUAUCAAUUUGGAUUGCAGAAGAUGUUGGUCGUGUGGCGAGGAGAGCAGACUGGCCGUGUGGCUGCAGAAUGGCAACUGACUCGAGAACAAGGGAAUCGGGUUUAUGAGGCUGUAGAGAUCAGCAGGGCCUCCAGGAGGACUCAACAUGAAAACUGUUGGAGUUCAUCAUAAAGGGCCAUGGAUCAGAUGAUCACUUGCUGGCUGUUGUAUCUGAAAAGGUGUUAUCCAAAUGGUUAAAAAUGAUGAAGAUCCUAAAGGUCACCAGGUAAUGACCUCUAUACAGUAGAAGAUGAGGAGCUGACAGAUGGCCUCUAAAACUACCUGAUGAAGUGCUGUCAAGAGCUGUAGGCACUUUUGAAAAGAUCAACAGAGUUUUCAUCAUUCUGGAUGUGCUGAUGCCAGAGGCUCAUUUGGCUUCAGUGAAUCUCUGACGAGUACAGAAAGUAUCUCCAUGAGUAAGAAGCAGAAGGUCUGUUCAUUGAUGGACCAGCAGAUGUGAGUAAAGAGUUUGACACACUUGUGGUUCAACUGUUAACAGUAUGAGGACAGACCACGUCACUGAGGCUUUUCAACUUGGGAUUCCAUCUCAGCGCCUUCUCUAAUAAACAUGUCACUUGCUUUAUUGGUCUUUUAACUUUUUUUUAUUUGAGUGUUUGACUGUGCAUAAUAGAGUUGUGUAUAUUUAACGAUUGAUGUAAAUAAUAAAGGACACUGUUGAUUAA